AUUGAACGCUGGCGGCAGGCCUAACACAUGCAAGUCGAACGAGUGGCGGACGGGUGAGUAAUGUCUGGGAAACUGGCCGAUGGAGGGGGAUAACUACGGGAAACGGUAGCUAAUACCGCAUACCAUCGGAUGUGCCCAGAUGGGAUUAGGUAGUAGGUGGGGUAAUGGCUCACCUAGCCGACGAUCCCUAGCUGGUCUGAGAGGAUGUCCAGCCACACUGGAACUGAGACACGGUCCAGACUCCGACGGGAGGCAGCAGUGGGGAAUAUUGCACAAUGGGCGCAAGCCUGAUGCAGCCAUGCCGCGUGUAUGAAGAAGGCCUUCGGGUUGUAAAGUACUUUCGGCGGGGAGGCGUUACUCACAGAAGAAGCACCGGCUAACUCCGUGCCAGCAGCCGCGGUAAUAC
rnacentral:rRNA from 1 species